rnacentral:rRNA from 1 species
UACGGGGGGGGCAAGCGUUGUUCGGAAUUACUGGGCGUAAAGGGCUCGUAGGCGGCCAACUAAGUCGGAUGUGAAAUCCCCAGGCUUAACCUGGGAACUGCAUCCGAUACUGGAUGGCUUGAAUCCGGGAGAGGGAUGCAGAAUUCCAGGUGUAGCGGUGAAAUGCGCAGAUAUCAGGAGGAACACCGGUGGCGAAGGCGGGACUCUGGGCCGAUACUGACGCUGAGGAGCGAAAGCGUGGGGAGCGAACGGG